CAAUGAUGAUGAUGAUGAUGAUGAUGAUGAUGAUGAUAACCAGCGCUACUGCACCACCACCAUCAUCAUCAUCAUCAUCAUCAUCAUCACCAUCA
rnacentral:pre_miRNA from 1 species